rnacentral:rRNA from 1 species
AUUGAACGCUGGCGGCAUGCCUUACACAUGCAAGUCGAACGGUAACAGGUUAAGCUGACGAGUGGCGAACGGGUGAGUAAUGUAUCGGAACGUGCCCAGUCGUGGGGGAUAACUACUCGAAAGAGUGGCUAAUACCGCAUACGACCUGAGGGUGAAAGCGGGGGACCGUAAGGCCUCGCGCGAUUGGAGCGGCCGAUAUCAGAUUAGCUAGUUGGUGGGGUAAAAGCCCACCAAGGCGACGAUCUGUAGCUGGUCUGAGAGGACGACCAGCCACACUGGGACUGAGACACGGCCCAGACUCCUACGGGAGGCAGCAGUGGGGAAUUUUGGACAAUGGACGCAAGUCUGAUCCAGCCAUGCCGCGUGCGGGAAGAAGGCCUUCGGGUUGUAAACCGCUUUUGUCAGGGAAGAAACGAGUUUCUCUAAUACAGAGACUUAAUGACGGUACCUGAAGAAUAAGCACCGGCUAACUACGUGCCAGCAGCCGCGGUAAAAC